rnacentral:rRNA from 1 species
GGGCCAGACUCCUACGGGAGGCAGCAGUGGGGGAUAUUGCACAAUGGGGGGAACCCUGAUGCAGCGACGCCGCGUGGGUGAAGAAGCGCCUCGGCGCGUAAAGCCCUGUCAGCAGGGAGGAAAAUGACGGUACCUGACUAAGAAGCCCCGGCUAACUACGUGCCAGCAGCCGCGGUAAUACGUAGGGGGCAAGCGUUAUCCGGAUUUACUGGGUGUAAAGGGAGCGUAGACGGCAUGGCAAGUCAGAUGUGAAAGCCCGGGGCUCAACCCCGGGACUGCAUUUGAAACUGUUUCCCUUGAGUGUCGGAGAGGUAAUCGGAAUUCCUUGUGUAGCGGUGAAAUGCGUAGAUAUAAGGAAGAACACCAGUGGCGAAGGCGGAUUACUGGACGAUAACUGACGGUGAGGCGCGAAAGCGUGGGGAGCAAACAGGAUUAGAUACCCUUGUA